rnacentral:rRNA from 1 species
GACGAACGCUGGCGGCGUGCUUAACGCAUGCAAGUCGAACGAGGUCCAUCCAGCUUGCUGGUGAAGACCGAGUGGCGAACGGGUGAGUAACACGUGAGGAACCCACCCCGGAGACCGGGAUAACCCUCCGAAAGGAGAGCUAAUACCGGAUGCCCUCAUCGGAUCGCAUGUUCUGAUGAGGAAAUGGAUUCCGCUCCGGGACGGCCUCGCGGCCUAUCAGCUUGUUGGCGGGGUAACGGCCCACCAAGGCGUCGACGGGUAGCUGGUCUGAGGGGACGGUCAGCCACACUGGGACUGGGACACGGCCCAGACUCCUACGGGAGGCAGCAGCGGGGAAUAUUGCGCAAUGGGCGAAAGCCUGACGCAGCAACGCCGCGUGAGGGAUGAAGGCUUUCGGGUUGUAAACCUCUUUCAGCAGGGACGAUUGUGACGGUACCUGCAGAAGAAGCCCCGGCCAACUACGUGCCAGCAGCCGCGGUAAAAC